GGAGAAUUGGCCGAGUGGUUUAAGGCGCACGCUUGGAAAGCGUGUGUAGGUGAAAGCCUACCGUGGGUUCGAAUCCCAUGUUCUCCGCCA
rnacentral:tRNA from 1 species